rnacentral:tRNA from 1 species
AGGUCGGUGGCCAGGUACCAGGUCGCUUUCUCCGGCAGGGUGGCCGGGUCGGCGGUGGCCACGACCAGGCGGAUGAUGCCGUCCGGUCCCC